CAUGUUGGAUGCAAUAAGCCACCCACUCCUUUCCUCUGUCCUUAGCUGUUAUUGGACAUCCAGACUAUGUCAGUUCCAUCAGCACUCCAGAUGAGGCAAGACAGAAGUCAGUCCCUCCUUUGGGCAGACCACCAACCUGGAGACAGCAGAUGCAUACCUCACUAUGUCUUUUUCCCUCAGGGAGAAGUUACAGGACAAGGUGAUUUCACUUGGAGCUGAGUUUUGCCAGACUUGGGGAAAUAUUAAUGCAGGUCUGUUGCCUGGCUGGAGUGCAGUGGAGCGAUCAUCACUCACAGCAACCUCCACCUUCUGGGUUGGAGCGAUUCUACUGCCUCAGCCUACUGAGUAGCUGGGACUACAGGCUGGAGUGCAAUGGCAUGAUCUCAGCUCAUCGCAACCUCUGCCUCCCAGGUUCAAGCAAUUCUCCUGCCUCAGCCUACCAAAUAGCUGGGAUUACAAGCCUGUGCCACCAUGCUGGCUAAUUUUGUACUUUGAGUUUCUACAUGUUGGUCAGGCUGGUCUGGAAUUUCAUUCCUCAGGUGACCUGACCACCUCAGCCUCCCAAAGUGCUGGAAUUAUAGGUGUGAGCCACCGCACCCAGCUUUAGAACAUUAUUAUAAGUGUUAUAGAUAUGGUCUGAGAAAAAGGCUAUUUCUUCAAGAAAAAAAAAAUUGAAAGCACUAUUCAGCAUUAAAAAAGGAAUAAACUAUUGUUUCAUACUACA
rnacentral:lncRNA from 13 species